GCCCCUGUAGAUCAAUAGAAGAUCGUCAGCCUCCUAGUGCUAACUGGUUCAGCUGAAGGUUCCGAGUGCAAGUCUCGGCAGGGGUU